rnacentral:hammerhead_ribozyme from 18 species
CUCCCUUCCAGGGAUACCCUGCUGACGAGCCUGUGAAAGUCAGGCGAAAAGAAAC